rnacentral:rRNA from 1 species
CAGUCGCCGCGGGAAUACGAAGGGUGCAAGCGUUAAUCGGAAUUACUGGGCGUAAAGCGUGCGUAGGCGGUGAGUUAAGUCUGUUGUGAAAUCCCCGGGCUCAACCUGGGAAUGGCAAUGGAUACUGGCUCGCUAGAGUGUGAUAGAGGAUGGUGGAAUUCCCGGUGUAGCGGUGAAAUGCGUAGAGAUCGGGAGGAACAUCAGUGGCGAAGGCGGCCAUCUGGAUCAACACUGACGCUGAGGCACGAAAGCGUGGGGAGCAAACAGGAUUAGAUACCCCGGUAGUCCCUGUCUCUUAUAC